rnacentral:lncRNA from 1 species
GCUUUCCAUUUAUUACUUAAAGAACACUUAAAGCAAGGAACUUUUCAACGUUUAAAUAAAAUCUUAAAAUAAAAUAUUCAAUACUCAAUUGUUAAAUUAAAGUGCAAUAUGAGGCAUGAAACCUUCUUCCUUUGAACAAUAGUGAAUCCAGAAAAUUGCCUGUGUCCACAUCAUCAAACAAAAGAAAGAAAGCAAAGCAGACCUGAGCUCAUAACUUCACAUGACUUUUCUAAAAGAUGCGGAUGUCUACAUUGUCUGGGGAGAGGGUAGACCUCUUUACAGUCACUAUGUCCCCUGCCAUGGAGAACACCCUCUCGCUAGGAACUGAAGUGCCAGGCACAGCCAGGUAGCGUCUUGCCAUCAUGGCAAUGUGAGGGUAUUUACACUCAUUGCUUUUCCACCAUGCCAGUGGAUCACCAUCCACUGGAAUGCCGCUUGCUGCCUUGUAGGAUGCCUCCUCCUCUUUGAUGGUGUUGGCAAACGUCUUGCCUGUGUCCUUGCUCGCAAGAGACUCCCCGAAAAUCUCCUUCGUGGCCAAAUGAUUUUGUGCAGGAGAUGCUUCUGAGUCUGGUCCUGUCGACUCUGUGGCUUGACCCUGCAGAAAAAAUGUUUUGAUCUAUUAAACUAACAAAUGAUUCAUUUUCAUAUUACAUAUAUUUUUUUUACCUCUUCAGUGGCCACAGUCUCAGUGGUGAGAUCACUGUAUGUCCUCCGGUUUAGGGCAGGGUCUAGGUGAGACAGGGACGUGAACAGACAGGGACUUGAACCUUGGAUCCAGUGCAGUAGAACUAUGAAGGUAGUCCUGUACAUUAGGGGGGUAUCUGGGGUUCAGGUCCUCUCUAAUGGCAGCCUUCACAUCUCUAGUGAUGGUGCUGUCUUCCUCACUUGGGACCAUGGAUUGUAGAAUCCUUGUUUUCAGAGGUAGGAUCAUGGACACAGACGGUGCAGUUUCAGUGCUCAGUAGGGUUGUAACCGUUUUGAGGGAUUUGAGCACCUGGAGAACCUCCUCUGCCACUUUCACGUCAUCAUUAGACAAGGUGACAAUGUCUUUAUUUUUUCCAGGGUCUUGUCUGUCAGGGCAGAGUAUACAGCUGCCUGCUGCUCAAGAUAGCUCUCCAACAUGUCAUAAGUGGAGUUCCAUCUUGUUGUGACAUGGUGUAUGAGCUUGUGGGUCGGUAGCUGUAGCAUUUCUAGCUUGGUCUUAAGCACAUGAGCGGCUGUUGGGCUUCGGUGGAAAAAGGAAACCACCUUCCUGAUUCUCCCAAGGAAGCGGUCCAUCUGGUUCACUGAGACUCCCCUUUGGGAUGCUAAAUUGAUCACAUGUGCAAAGCAAGCUAUCUGUGGCCCCAGUCCAGCCUCUAUCACUGCAUUUACUUGGUUCUUGGCAUUAUCUGUGGUGGUUGGGAUAUUGCUAUUGGGCCUCUAGCUUCCACUCUGCUACUGCUCCUAGCUAGCUCCGAGCUGCUCCUAGCUAGCUCCGAGCUGCUCCUAGCUAGCUCCUAGCAGUACCUGCGCCAGAUUUGUGCCUUUGGGACUCUCAUAGAGGGGGUGUGUCUGUAGCACCGGACUUCACAUCUCACACUCCUCUGUGGUGUAGUGAGCAGUCACGUAGCUUUCUGUUACCCUGGAGGUCCACUCCUCUGGUGUAGUGAGCAGUCACAGUCACGUAGCUUUCUGUUACCCUGGAGGUCCACUCCUCUGGUGUAGUGAGCAGUCACAGUCACGUAGCUUUCUGUUACCCUGGAGGUCCACUCCUCUGUGGUGUAGUGAGCAGUCACAGUCACGUAGCUUUCUGUUACCCUGGAGGUCCACUCCUCUGUGGUGUAGUGAGCAGUCACAGUCACGUAGCUUUCUGUUACCCUGGAGGUCCACCUGUCUGUGUUGAGGGCAACAGAGGAUGCCUUGGAUAAUUUGUCGACAAUUUUGGGGAUUUCAUAGCGUGGCUCAAGCACUUUCACCAUAUUUUUAAACCCUUUGUUUUCCACAACAGAGUAUGGCCUCAUGUCUGCAGUGAUAAACAUCCCAAUAGAUUUGGUGAUGGCUUCAGCCCGGUCUGAUUCUGCAGCAAAGGGCUUAAAUGUCGCGGUGAGAAGUUGUUGUCUCUUGGCUGAGUUGGCUCCCGUCACUGACACACCAGGGUGACGACGCUUUAAAUGAGUGUCCAUGCUCCAUGUAUUUCCAUGAUCAUACGGCUUUCAUGUGGCACAAUGGCUACACACCGUAAUGGUGUUGUCCACCACCCUUCUUCCAUCAUCAUAUUUGACAGGGAAGACAAAAUGCUCCCAUACAUGAGACUUAAAUGAAGCGGGAGGCUUUUCCAGUUCUUCAGCUCUUUUUUCUUCUUUGCAACGCGAGCAUCCAGGAUUGAUUCGUUGGGAUUCAACAUGCCUCGUUCACGUGAACAGUACACACAAGUGCUUUAAAAAAAGAAUAAAACCAACUUUCAGGCUUCAGAGUAAAACACAGCACGCAUCUGUUUUGUCUUUAUCUUUUCACUUUCGACUCAGCAUCGAGAUGUAGGGAAUUAUUACUUUAAAAAGUAACAGC